GGGCUCCGGGCGGCGCUGGCUGCCGUUUAGCGGUUUGAGCCUUUUGUUUCAGUUGUCUCAGAAAAAUGGGGCGAUAGAGGAGCUGGGCGCGCGCGCGCGUGAGUGUGUGUGUGGUUGUGUGUGUGUGUGUGUGUAAAUCAGGAGGCGUUUGGCUUGGAGCCAUUUUCCCCCCCUUAAUUGUGGAGACAGAAAACCCCUUGAAACGGUUUCCCCCGGGGACACGGUGCUGCCCCUCUUCGUCCCCGGCGUCUGAACCGAGUGGAUUUCCCUCCCGGCCUCUUGGCCACCUUUCACCCCCGCCCCCCACCUCCGUGGAGCCCCCCGAGCGAGCGGGGGAGUCUGCAAAGCCGCCCGGUCACCUGUCGUGGCAGCUGCAUGGAAAGGCUGGCGUGUGUGCUGUCUGGUCGGUGCCGUUUCCUCUGGCAAAUCACGGGGAUUCCGCUCCCAACGCCAACCCUUCUUCCCCUCUUGCCUGCGCUAAAAACAAAGUGCAGGAUGCCGCCUCUGAAGUUUGACCCGUCUGGACCAUUAGUAGGGAGAGGUGUCUUUUCGUCGUCACACCUCUUCAAGGUUGGAAAGAUUUGUCAGACUCCAGGGCCUUCAAGCUGUGAUUAAUCUGAUGGUUCGUGAAACAACUGGGAAAACAGAUGUUUUGUGUGCCAUUUGAAGAGUGUGUGUCUAUGUAUAUUUAAAACUUUCUUUCUAUACAUACACAUUUACACGAGAAGACAGGCUCAUUCUUGUGCUCUCUUGAAGAGUUUUACAACUGAUGAAAAUUAAUUUAAGAAUCAGAUGGAGCAACUUGACACCACUGGGCUUGGGAGCCCGGGGAGAGAAAUACAUCACUAAUGGCCAGUUUUCCAUAUGGUCUUCACGGGUAAAGAAAGUUUGCAAAAAGAAGAGAAAAAAAAGCUUGCACAGAUCAAGCCUCAAAAAUACCUCUCCAGUUUAAAGAAGGAACUAAGUGAGAAGGUGACUGAGGGGGAAGUGUGAUUUCAAGCUUUGCAGGUGGAAGUGUGCCGUGCUUUUUGCGCUUUAUUUUUCAGUGGGUCUGGUGAUUUGGACAGACGUUAAGAUUCAGGACUGAAGGGUGGCUCUCACUGUGUGCUUAUGACUGGAGGAGGCCAGCCAGGGUGUGAUGGGGCAAGUUUGAACAAUGAACUGAUUCCUUUGCCUUUUUUCAGUUAACUGAAAAAAGUCCAGAAAUUUUAAUUUAUUAUUUCCCUUUUUCUUGCCUGUAUCUGUAGGAUAGUUCCUUAAGGUAGCAAUUGAAACUGCUAAUCACAAAAUAAUUAUCAAGGCGCAUCCUUGUAAAGCUUUUUUCCUUGGACUGUACCCGGGGCAUUUGGAGACGGUCUCUGAAGGUGGUCAGGAGAGUGCCCUUCAGACAGCACAGUCACUCUUCAGGGAGAUAGUGAGAAAAGAACCUGACUCUUGCCUGUGUUUCCAUUUUAAGGGGUUCUCUCCCGUGUUGAGUCCAGGCAUACUUGCAUGUAAAAGGGGGACCAGUUCAUGGACUUAAUUCUGGGAUUAGUUUUUUCCCUUCAAGAUGGAAAAGCACGUCAUCCUUAAGAGCAGAAAGGGGAGGAGUGACUAGGGGAGGGAGUACGGAGACCUCCUGUAGCCCAGCUGGGCUACCCUUUGUCCACACACGUGUUUAGAUUCACUGGAGGCCCACGCUCCCGUAGAGCCCUGGAACCUCCUGGCUCUGCUGGGGGCAGGGGCUUCCUCGCCUGCCUCUAUGGCCCCCAGGGCUGCGUCAGCCUGUGUCACGGCCCUCCCUGGGGACACAGCCACCUUCUGGGAAGCCCGGUUGGGCUCUGAAGUUGGAGGUUUCUGGCUCUGAACAGCGAGGAAAGAGUUUUUUUUUUCCUCCUAAAAUUUGGACUGCUGUCUGCACAAACUCUAGUCUGUUUUGCACGGUUUGUGUGCCUUUUUCCCUUUAUGCAAUCUUCAGCUUUAGCAGCAGAAAUUUGUCUAGCUGAGAAAGCAAGCCCGAGGGUGGCUUCAGAAAGAAGAUGAUCCCGUGUGUUCUGCCUCUGUAUCUGAACUUUUGAAGGGGACGCUCCAGCUCGAGGGAUUCUUUAAGCCUUAAGUUACUUGAAAUCUAUGUAUUUGCAGCCCUUUGUGUCUGGAAUCACAUUACACUAAACUGGAAUCUCAGGCUGAAUAAGAAGAACCAAGUGAAAAGAACACUCAGUUUCUUUAUCACCACUUGUCAACGAUGCUCUUUCUCCAAAGGGUCACCCGGCGCUUCCUCUAAGGACUUGAAAAUAAAAAUGGCCGCCACGUUUUUUUUUAAGCA
ensembl:lncRNA